GAGCACCGCGGAGCAUGUCGGGGCGACAUUAUCACAAGAACUCAAAUAAAUGCCCCGUCAGAUAUCAAAACACAUUUGGGGGGAAUUGAUGACAGAGAGAGUAAUUUUUUAUUAUUAAAUAUUGAUGAAUGAAGAAAAAUUGGGCUCCAGCAGAAGGGCACUUUUCUCCUCCAGGGCAAAAGGGCAGGUGCUUGAGCACGUGCCUGUCUCUGAGGGCGGAAGGCUGUUCCAGCUCUUUCCAUCUACCCACAAGGACAGAACGCGGCCAGCCGCUUCUCCUGCAUCGCUGAGGAGAGGGCCUGGCUGCUCCAGCACAUCUUCUCUUCCCCACAACAACCGGAGGUCAGAGGUGCAGCUUUCCAACUCAUCUUCUCAAGGAAACCUCCUUUCAAAUCAAGCUUUUCCAAACCUCCUAGCAGCGACUAGUAGGUGGAGCAUGCCGAUGCCGAACCUCGUAGCAGCUCUCCGGAGGACAGGCAAGCAGUUAGCCUGCGACGUAACUCUCCUUCGUUCAGCCACUUGGCUCCGGACCUCCACUGGGUAAGUGCUCCAACUCUUUUUUCCUUUUUCACAGGUUUCACUCUGGGUUUUUUUCUCUAGUUUUCCUCUUCUCCUUAACACACAGCUGCCCUCGCUUCCCGGGCCGAGAUCCGAAAAGACCGGAAGAGCAACGCGACUGCACUUCCUCUCCGAGCCGACAGGCUGAGCGCGGCCUGCGUAGCUUCUGAUUGGCUGCUGAGAACUAGGUACCCCACGUGGGACCAUGCGAGUUGAGCGGUGCAUUCAAAACAAAUAAGAUAAUCAGAGCAAACAGUCUCUCUUCUUUUACGGUACUAAAUUAACAGUGUUUCUUACACCUGGUUACACCUACACUGUUAAGAACUACAUAACCUUCACUGUUCAUUAUAUAAUCUUUAAUAGUAAAUAUUGAGAUAUCUGAUCGAACUAGAUCUGAAUGAGACUAUCUUAAUCAAUAAUUGGCUAUCUUUUCACUUCUUUGAAGGGUGGUGCCCCGCGGGAACUUUAAUCAAAUAAAGUUAUGAUCUAAUAUUAAUAUUUUAAAUAUUAAUGUUUUAUAUUUAAUUUUGAUUCCAGUUAAAUCUAGAAUAGAAUUUAAAAUUCUCCUCCUGACCUUCAAGGCCCUUAAUAAUAUGGCGCCAUUUUACCUUAAAGAGCUGUUAGAACCUUAUCAACCCAAUAGAGCACUCCGCUACCAGAAUUCAGGCUUACUUGUCGUCCCUAAAGUCUCUAAAAGUAGAAUAGGAGCCAGAGCUUUCAGCCAUCAAGCUGCUCUCCUGUGGAAUAAUCUCUCACUUUCAGUUCGGGAAGCAGACACCAUCUGUACGUUUAAUAGUAGGCUUAAAACCUUCCUUUUUGAUAAAGCUUACAGUUAGAGGCUUGUCUUAGACCUGCUCUUAGUUAUGCUGCUAUAGGUCAAGAAGGUCGAUAACAUCAACUGGCGGUACUAUGCAUUAAUUAAUUCGGCAGAAUAUAACUUGUCCUAUGUUCUAAAAUGGGAAGCGUUUAGUUUUAAAAGGCAUAGAGGUAGUGAUGUCUAAUCUACAGAGUGGGCCACAUGGCUUUCAUAGUACUGCCAUACAAGCCAGUAGCCAGUCAGAUUUACCUUGAGCCUCACUGUACCCUCAAGUUCGGCCUGUAUCAUUGAUUAAAAGGCAUGACGCCUUUUAAUCUGAUGACGCUAGGGUGCAAAAGGAAUUUAUGACACAUGACACACAGAGCUUCUCUUUCCAGCUUCUCCUUCCUCUUCUCUAAUCAUUAUCACAGUGGUUCUCAAAGUGGGGGGGGCACGGACACUCUCCGGGGGGUGCAAUGUCACAGACCAAAACAUUUAAAUAAAAAAAAUGUUAAAAAAAUGACAGACAACCUGUCACUGGUUAGUGAAAGCUCCCUCAGUGGCGAAAUGCUAGGGCCUGGACUGACACAAACAAAUCAAAUACUGUUUCGUUCCUGAUCCACCAAUCAAAAGAGGAGUGUUAUCAUUUGAACGCGAGUUGCACGUACGCUUCUGACUAUAAAAGUAACUGUAGGCAUGGUCAGCGCUCACCCUCACUGAGACGACACCCUGCAGAGUUUGUGUGAUUGCUCUUGUUUACUCUAUAAUUCAGAUAUUCAUUGCUUUAUAAACAGUCUUUUUAAAGACUCACUCCUUCCUUAGUAAUACCUUCCUGCACUUGCAGCAGGCCUAUUAGUAGCCUAAUCUAAGGAGUAAUUUGCUCCACAGUCUUUUUUAGAAAGCUCAUAGCCCCAAGAGCUAGCCUUCUAGCUAGCUAACUUCUUCCAACUGCAGCUAGCCCUUUUCUCCUUAACACCUACCUUUACAUCUUCAAUCAUCCACCGUGUUGCAACAAAUAAAACACCAGCACUUGAAUACUAUUCUGUGCUGUCCCUGUCUACAUUGUGUACUGUUCGUUUUGUUAGGAACCAUUGCCUAGCACAGCCUUAUUCAUUAUUCGUGUGCAAGUCGCUCACAGCUACACAUACAAACACACUCACAAGACCACGACAUCGCAAUUAGAACUUUAUUAACAUCACACACACUGUAUCAGCAAACAAACACAACUAUGGACAAGUUUCUGAUUCGUAAAAGUGACCGAUGCGCCAGUUGCAUAGAAGCUUCGCAAAUAUGACGAGAGCUAUUUGCAGUUUGGUUUCACCGUCACUGGCACGACUGAGCAACGUCCUCGGUGUGUUUUGUGUGCCAAGGUGCUGGCAAAUACAGCAUGAAGCCAUGCAAAUUGAAAGGCACCUCGACACCAAACACCCGACUUGAAAGAGAAGCUGUGGACUUCUUUAUGAGGUAAUCGUGAUGGCCUCCAGCAACAACAAUCCACCAUCUCCAAGCAUAGCACCGUCUCCAAGCUAUCUAUCUAUCUAUCUAUUGUGGUGUAGUUGAGGGCGGUGGUGGCGGGCGGCUCGGGGGAGCGGGGGGGCCCUAACUACCCCUAACCAGCUUUGGGGGGGCCCAGCUUGCAAAAGUUUGAGAACCCCUGCAUUAUCACAUCAAAGUUAUUCAUAUCUCAUCAAUACAUGUUUCUGACUUGACCCCUUCCCUGGAGUCCCUUUGCCUUAUCGUCCACAGAUCCAGGGCUGCAGCUGUGACCACAUCAUGGAUUACGAUCUUUGGAUCGCGUAUCAGAGGUCGUAAUGGUGGAUCCAUUUUGGCGUAUUCUGUAUCUUGCUGGCUGAUCGUAAUAAUAAUGGCGGAUCCCUUAUCGUUGGCAUCUGAUAAUGGUGGUGGACCACGACCGAGGUGGCAGCUGAUGAUGGAUCCAUUUGGCUGCAGUGGAAAAUGACAGUGAACUAUAGUGGCAUCCGAUUUGAUGGUGGAUCAUGUACUUGCUGGCUGCUGACCAUAGACUAUGAUUGCAGCAGGACUGCUUGAUAUGUAGUACACUUGACAUCUAUUGCACUUCUGUCCGUCCUGGGAGAGGGAUCCCUCACAUGUGGCUCUCUCUGAGGUUUCUACGUUCUUUUUACCCUGCUAAAAGGGUUUUUAGUAGUUUUUCCUUACUCUUGUUGAGGGUUAAGGACAGAGGAUGUCUCACCAUGUUAAAGCCCUAUGAGACAAAUUGUGAUUAGUGAAUAUGGGCUAUACAAAUCAAAUUUGAUUGAUAGAUUGAUUGAUAUUUACGGUGACGGUUUUUUCCCACAUUUAGAUUUCAUUGCGAUUUUUUGGACUUGGUUAGAUUUAGUUUCUUUAUGAUUAAUUGUUGGAUUUCUGGUUUCUUUGUUUUAUUUUAUUUUGUUCUUUGUUCCGUGGGUAAUGUGCAAUCGUGGUUUAAUGGCUUGAAUAUUGAUGAAUUAAUGGCGCCGCAAAUUAAAGGCCCUCUUCUGUUAUUUCAGUGUAUAAUAUCGCUUAAAGUGAUAAUCCACUGGUGCAAUCACACCAGGGUUGGGAUUCGUAAAGUGUGCUGUGCUUGUUUUAUGCAUGAUAUUUAAGCUUUGUUAAUUUGGGUAUGGGGCCUUUAACCUCUCACUUUUUUAUCUGUUAUUUAUAUCUAAUACAGGCCAGUACUUGUCCUGUGCUGUUUGAUCAGUCUUUUAAAAUAAUUUGUACGAAUUGGAUAAAUUGUCUAUUUCUGGAA